rnacentral:lncRNA from 1 species
CGGUAAGGUGACUCAAGUCGUCUCACACGGAAGGCUUAGCAGGGCUUUAAUUGUAUUACUCACACGAAACGGAAAGGAAACCUAAACACUCUAAUCGGGUAGUUGGGUCUGGCACUAUCUCGCACUCUAAUCACCAAAACAUAAACGGAAGGAAGCAAUAAACAUUAACUAAUGCAGUAGAUAUGUAACAACUAAGAAC